rnacentral:rRNA from 1 species
UUUAUAGCUUGCUAUGAUGAAAAUUAGUGGCAGACGGGUGAGUAAUGCAUAGGAAUCUACCUAGUAGUAUGGGAUAGCCACUAGAAAUGGUGGGUAAUACUGUAUAAUCCCUGCGGGGGAAAGAUUUAUCGCUAUUAGAUGAGCCUAUGUUAGAUUAGCUAGUUGGUAGGGUAAAGGCCUACCAAGGCAGUGAUCUAUAGCUGGUCUGAGAGGAUGAUCAGCCACACUGGAACUGAGAUACGGUCCAGACUCCUACGGGAGGCAGCAGUGGGGAAUAUUGGACAAUGGGCGCAAGCCUGAUCCAGCUAUGCCGCGUGAGUGAGGAAGGCCUUAGGGUUGUAAAACUCUUUCAGUGGGGAAGAUAAUGACGGUACCCACAGAAGAAGUCCCGGCGAAACUCCGUGCCAGCAGCCGCGGUAAUACGGAGGGUUCGGAGGGUUGUUCGGAAUUAUUGGGCGUUAAAGGGCAUGUAGGCGGUUCGGG